GAUGAACGCUGGCGGCGUGCCUAACACAUGCAAGUCGAGCGAACAGACGAGGAGCUCUCUCCCUUGACGUUAGCGGCGGACGGGCGAGUAACACGUGGAUAACCUACUUCUAUUACUGGGAUAAUUACGGGAAACCGGUUACACUAAUACCUCAUAUAUCGUACCGCAUGGAUCAAUAGUGAAAGACGGCUUUGCCGUUUCUUAUAGACGGUUCCGCGCCGCAUUAGCUAGUUGGUAAGGUAACGGCUUACCAAGGCAACGAUGCGUAGCCGACCUGAGAGGGUGAUCAGCCACACUGGAACUGAGACACGGUCCAGACUCCUACGGGAGGCAGCAGUGGGGAAUAUUCCGCAAUGGGCGCAAGCCUGACGGAGCAACACCGCGUGAGUGAAGAAGGUCUUCGGGUCGUAAAGCUCUGUUGUUAGGAAAGAACAAAUGUAUGAGUAUCUAUGGACGUCUUGACGGUACCUAAAGAAAAAGCAACGGCUAACUACGUG
rnacentral:rRNA from 1 species